UACGAAGGGUGCUAACGUUAUUCGGAAUAAUUGGGCGUAAAGGGUGCGCAGGCUGUAUGUUAAGUCAACUGUUAAAGUCUCCGGCCUAACCGGGGGUCUGCGGUAGAUACUGGCAAACUAGAGUAUGGGAGAGAGAAGUGGAAUUCUCGGAGUAGCGGUAAAAUGCGUAGAUCUCGAGAGGAACACCGAUGGCGAAGGCAGCUUCUUGGCCCAUUACUGACGCUCAUGCACGAAAGCGUGGGGAGCAAACAGGAUUAGAUACCCUGGUAGUCCACGCCGUAAACGAUGAUCACUAGACGUUGGGUUUGCUUAGCAAAUUCAGUGUCGUAGCUAACGCGUUAAGUGAUCCGCCUGGGGAGUACGGUCGCAAGAUUA
rnacentral:rRNA from 1 species